rnacentral:rRNA from 1 species
AGAGUUUGAUCCUGGCUCAGGACGAACACUGGCGGCGUGCCUAACACAUGCAAGUCGAGCGAUGAAAUCUUCGGGAUGGAUUAGCGGCGGACGGGUGAGUAACACGUGGGUAACCUGCCUUGUAGAGGGGGAUAGCCUUCCGAAAGGAAGAUUAAUACCGCAUAACAUCUUUUUAUCGCAUGGUAGAAAGAUCAAAGGAGUAAUCCGCUACAAGAUGGACCCGCGGCGCAUUAGCUAGUUGGUGAGGUAACGGCUCACCAAGGCGACGAUGCGUAGCCGACCUGAGAGGGUGAUCGGCCACAUUGGAACUGAGACACGGUCCAGACUCCUACGGGAGGCAGCAGUGGGGAAUAUUGCGCAAUGGGGGAAACCCUGACGCAGCAACGCCGCGUGAAUGAAGAAGGCCUUAGGGUUGUAAAGUUCUGUUUACGGGGACGAUAAUGACGGUACCCGUGGAGGAAGCCACGGCUAACUACGUGCCAGCAGCAGC